rnacentral:rRNA from 1 species
UACGUAGGAAGCAAGCGUUGUCCGGAAUUACUGGGCGUAAAGCGCGUGUAGGCGGAUAGGCAAGUCUGCUGUGAAAGCUCCCGGCUUAACCGGGAGAGGUCGGUGGAAACUGCCUGACUAGAGGACGGUAGAGGGGGGUGGAAUUCCCGGUGUAGUGGUGAAAUGCGUAGAGAUCGGGAGGAACACCAGUGGCGAAGGCGGCCCCCUGGGCCGCUCCUGACGCUGAGACGCGAAAGCGCGGGGAGCGAACGGG